CUGAGGAGAAGGGAGGCAGUGAUUCGUAUUUUAUAGCAUGAGGAGUGCAGUGACCAGAGGGGAAGGUAGGUCAAGAUUAAGGAGAAUGUUGUGGUGAUGGCUAUUUAAUGGAACACAGAGAUAUAUGGAAGAACAUGAAUUGGGUUGCAGCUCAGCUGCACCUGUUUUCACUAUUGGGAUUCAUCCCUGGAUGUUUCAAGUAAUGAUAAUAAAUAAAGAGCAUCUUUAUGUAUGUUUUCCUCACUGCUUGGUACCAUAGCUCAUUUGUAUGCAGGUGAAUUUGGCUCCAUGCUAGUCUUCUUUAACUGCCUCUCUCUCUUUCAUUUUAAGAAAUGCAUACUUUUAGGACCACUCCGCAUGACAACGAAGUGCAGAACUGGUCUGGAUGUGCCCUGGGCUGAAGGAACUAUAGCAAGUACUGUACUAUGAGCUGUUUGGUGCUUACUGCUCAGUCAGAUCCAUGGUGAGAGCCAAGUAAGAAAUAAUACUAAUAAUAGGAAGAAGAAGAUAAAGCAGUAGCAGCAGCUGGAUUUCCUAAUAUGCUUUCAUAACCGUAACAAGAAAUCAGAAAUACAAUAGUCUGAGUGAUUCUGACCUUGGUACUUAAAGAUAUGUCUUUACAAGCAUGGUAUUGUGGUUUGAGUACUGAACUAUGACUCUGAAGUCCACGGUUUGAUUCCUCACAUGACCAUGGAAACCACUGGAAAGCAAAGGCAACUGUCUUCUGUGCAAAUCUUGCUCCCCAAAAAACCACUCAUGAUAGCUUCACCUUAGGAUCACCAUAAGUCAGAAAUGACUUGAAGGUAGACAACAACAGCAACUUUACACUUGAAGAACUUAUCUAGUUCCUUGUUCUUUUAUGGCUGUCUAUCUAUGGUUGUCUUCUAAUUUCUUGACUACAGAAGACAAUCCACAUGCAAAAGUAAUGAAGCAAUGACUCUCAGAGGCACAGAAUGCUCCCACUAUGGGUUUCACAUAAAAAGAAGAAACUGUUUUGCUUUGGCUUUGUCAGAGACCAGUUUAGCAAGACUGUACCAGCCUGAAUGCCAGAGGCAUUUAGAUAAUAAAUACCCUCCCAUUUUAUUGCAACCAUUCAAUAUGAAAAGAAUACAGAGAAACAGUGUGGUUCUCAAUUGGAAAGGGAGUUGACAAGGAUGUAUCUUCUCACCCUAUUUGUUCAACUUAUACGCAGAAAAUAUUAAAAAGAUGGCUUAAAUUCAGAAGGAGGAGGAGUGAAGAUUGGAGGAAAAUAUGAACAACAUAAACUAUGGAGGUCCUUUUGGGAUGAGGGAAUUUAAAACUAUGGCACACAAGGUAAAGAGAUAUUAAAUAUUUUAUGGGAAAUCACAACAUAUUUUCACCAUUUGCCUGACAAUGAUGAUUUCCCCCUUCUCAAAGAAACAUGGUCAAAUGUAUUAUAGUGAAUCAGUUUAGCAUUGUUUAUGUACCUGUUCCUGGGUUGUAUAGGGCCAAUUAUUAUUGAACAUUGCAAACACUGCAACCACCUUUCUAAUACUUAGAAGGCCCACCUUUAUAGAGAGUGCAGACUGUAACUCCAGAAAUUUCUGAUAAUUGCCCUGUGAUGUGGUGGGUAGAUUUAAAUUGGAAUUUUACUAUGCUCAGGAGCUGAAGAUUAUAGUGCUGAAAUGUGAAAUGUACGAGAGCAAAUGUUAUUCAGAUCAUGACAAAUUCUCUGUUUAGGAAUGUAAACAAUUUGGAAAUGGCUCCUAACUCAAGAUGUUAACCCAAAUAAAAGGAAGUACUACAUAGACAGUUUGGGGACAGUGAAACAAAACAUAUAGAUAAAAGACUGAUUGAUGGGUAACCCACGUGGGAUAGAGAUGUAUGCUAAAACAUUCAAUGAAUAUACAGGGGUGUAAAUAUUUAAUUAAAUGUAACCAAUGAAAUGUGAUGUGUAGUUUCCUUUGUUGAAAAUACUAUAAAAACUUGGUUCCUUUUAGAAUUGAGGUCCUAGUAAUUUGGAAGUAUUUCCUGCUGGGAACAACAGCUGCAGCUAAAAAUAAACAUUUUCCCUUUCCAA